GAUGAAGAACGCAGCGAAAUGCGAUAAGUAAUGUGAAUUGCAGAAUUCAGUGAAUCAUCGAAUCUUUGAACGCACCUUGCGCCCCUUGGUUAUUCCAAAGGGCAUGCCUGUUUGAGUAUCAUGAACACCUCAACUCUUGUGGUUUCCCACAAUGAGCUUGGACUGUGGAGGUUUUGUUGGCCCUGUGGUCAGCUCCUCUCAAAUGGAUCAGCUUACCGGUGUUUGGUGGCAUUACGGGUGUGAUAACUAUCUACGCUCGUGGUCGUCUCCAAAUAACCUCCAGUGAUGGAGGUUCGCUGGAGCUUAUAAAUGUCUCUCCCCUGUGAAGACAGCCUUUGAACGUUCGAUCUCAAAUCAGGUAGGACUACCCGCUGAACUUAAGCAUAUCAAUAAGCGGAGGA
rnacentral:misc_RNA from 1 species